CGGGGUGCAGCAGGCGCGAAAACUUUGCAAUACACGAAAGUGUGACAGGGUCAUCCCGAGUGCCGACCGCUGAGGUUGGCUUUUACCCAGUCUAGAAAGCUGGGGGAAUAAGGAGAGGGCAAGUCUGGUGUCAGCCGCCGCGGUAAUACCAGCUCUCCGAGUGGUGUGGACGUUUAUUGGGCCUAAAGCAUCCGUAGCUGGCUGAACAAGUCCCCUGUUAAACCCACCGAUUUUAUCGUUGGUCUGCGGGGGAUACUGCUUGGCUAGGGGAUGAGAGAGGCAGACGGUAUUCCCGGGGUAGGGGUGAAAUCCUAUAAUCCCGAGAAGACCACCAGUGGCGAAGGUUGUCUGCUAGAACGCGCCCGACGGUGAGGGAUGAAAGCUGGGGGAGCGAACCGGAUUAGAUACCCGGGUAGUCCCAGCUGUAUAACGAUGCAGACUAGGUGUUUGGACGGCCACGUGCCGUUCUAGUGCCGCAGGGAAGCUGUUAAGUCUGCCGCCUGGGGAGUACGAUCGCAAGAUUGAAACUUAAAGGAAUUGGCGGGGGAGCACAAGGGCAAUUCGCG
rnacentral:rRNA from 1 species